rfam:Triticum aestivum genome assembly, contig: Triticum_aestivum_CS42_TGACv1_scaffold_290821_4AL
AAGAUAAUCCCUCCGUCCGGAAAUACUUGUCGUGGAAAUGUAUACAAAUGAAUGUAUCUAGAACUAAAAUACAUCUGGAUACAUCCAUUCGUUGGACAAGUAUUUCCGAACGGAGGUAGUACAAA